CUGCAUCCUCAUAGGUGCCAGUAAGUUUCACUAACUGCUGAGCCAUGAUGGGAACUCCAAUCUUCAUUCUUUUAAGCUUCUAAGGCCUGGGGUGACUUGCUACACAGCAAUAGAUGAUUAAUGUGGAAAGCUUUUUGGUGAAACAAGCCACUCGCCCUUCUUAUGUCACUUUCAUCAUUUUUUAAAUCUCCUGACCGACCCACUUCCUUACACUUCUCUGUUUUAUACCUUUUCGUUUUUCUUACUAACUUUUUUCUUACAAUGUUAUUUUUAUAGCAGUCAGUGUACAGAUAGACAUAACAAAGUUUAAGCCAAAAGUUUUAAUGGUUCAGAGGCUGAUACAAGAAAAAAAAUUGAGAUGUGAGUUUUUAUAAAUUCACCUCUGCUAUAAUCUAGGAGAUAUUUUGCUUUGGUAAAUUCUGCACUUUUAAAGAAUAGAUAGGCUUAAUGUGUAAAGUAUAUUUAUCUUCUCUGCUUUGUUCAUUUGUAGUGAUUUUUGGUAAAAAUUAUGCUUGUUCUUUUUUUUUUUUNNNNNNNNNNNNNNNGCCACACUUGCAGCAUAUGGAAGUUCCCAGGCUAGGGGUUGAAUCGGAGUUGUAGCUGCCGACCUACGCCACAGCCACAGCAAUGCAGGAUCCAAGCUGCAUCUGUGACCUACACCACAACUCACAGCAAUGCCAGGUCCUUAACCCACUGAUCGAGGCCAGGGAUUGAAGCUGCGUCCUCAUGGAUGCUAGUCAGAUUUGUUUCUACUGAGCCACAGACAGGAACUCCAAAAGACAGUUUUCAAUGUUGCCAGGGGAAAAACAUGAUUUUUUUUCCAAUUAUCAUCUGAGGAGGGAGUAGGUCACAAGGGUGGGUUUGUUCCCAGGGUGUGGGGACGAUGGCGCCAUCAUUAACCCUUGAUGAGGGGUCUCCUAGUGGAGCUUUAAUGGUCACAGUUGCCAAGCUCUCAUCAAAAACACUGUCUCUCUUCUGAAUUCUUCUUCUCUCCCAUUUCUUUACUCACAGGGCUAAUUCUCUGCUAAGACCAUGGGUAAAUUUAGGUUGUUCUAAAUUAUGUACUAGGUAUUAUGCGCUGGGCUCUAGGAAUAUCAUAUUUGAUGGAUCAAAGACAACUGAGUGAAUCGGGAGUUAAAUUUUAAAUUGCUGCCAUGGCCUCUUUGUUCCAUGGAAUGGACUGGGCUUUCCAGUCGUUGGGCAGGUGGCCUGGGUUCCACGUGCUCUGCUGGGGCUCCGGAGCACGAGGGAUUCCUGACCGUCAUGAAGGUACUGAAGGAACAGCCUCCAUCCUGGUGGAAGGCAACUGGGGAUGCAUAUGGUGAAGAAGAAACUAAAAUUCACUUAGGCACUUGGCAUGAGAGCCCUUUGAUGAGCAGGGAGGAGAAAAAGAACAAAUAAAUCAGGGAAGAUGAUCUUGCACAUACUGUACUUUCACUUCUUGGCUAGCAAAAAACACAUAAAUUUUAUCAGAGGUUUAGUUAUGUUCCUAAAGAAAUAAAUCCC
rnacentral:lncRNA from 1 species